UACGUAGGGGGCGAGCGUUGUCCGGAAUUAUUGGGCGUAAAGAGCGUGUAGGCGGCCCGGUAAGUCCGUUCUGAAAGCCCGGGGCUCAACCCCGGGAGGCGGAUGGAUACUGUCAGGCUCGAGUUCGGAAGAGGCGAGUGGAAUUCCCGGUGUAGCGGUGAAAUGCGCAGAUAUCGGGAGGAACACCAAUGGCGAAGGCAGCUCGCUGGGACGUUACUGACGCUGAGACGCGAAAGCGUGGGGAGCAAACAGG
rnacentral:rRNA from 1 species